UUCGCAAUGCCCGAAAGGGUGACGAAGCUACGCCCCGUGAGGGAAGAAGGCCUUCGGGUUGUAAACUCUGUCGGGAUUUAACAAUUGUAGUGAUGUUAAUAGCAUCGCUACUUGACUAAGGCUCCGGAGGAAGCCACGGCUAACUCUGUGCCACCAGCCGCGGUAAUACCCACGCGGCCAGCGUUGUUCGGAAUUAUUGGGCGUAAAGAGCACGUAUGCGGCUAUGUAAAUCGGUUGUGAAAGCCUUCCGCUCAACGGGAGAACAGCAUCCGAUACUGCAUGGCUUGAAUGCGGGAGGGGAGAGUGGAACUUCUGGUGGAGCGGUGAAAUGCGUAGAUAUCGGAAUGAACGCCAGCCGCGAAAGCGGCUCUCUGGCCCAUAACUGACGCUGAGUGUGCGAAAGCUAGGGGAGCAAACGGGAUUAAAUACCCCGGUAGUCCUAGCCGUAAACUAUGGGCACUAUUUAGAGGGGUUUUA
rnacentral:rRNA from 1 species